GGGGCCGUAGCCCAACGGGCAUGAGGCACACGGUUUAGAUCCGUGACAGUGCGGGUUCGAAUCCCGCCGGCCCCA
rnacentral:tRNA from 1 species